CCUACGGGGUGCAGCAGUGAGGAAUAUUGGUCAAUGGACGAGAGUCUGAACCAGCCAAGUAGCGUGAAGGAUGACUGCCCUAUGGGUUGUAAACUUCUUUUAUAUGGGAAUAAAAUGUUCCACGUGUGGGAUUUUGUAUGUACCAUAUGAAUAAGGAUCGGCUAACUCCGUGCCAGCAGCCGCGGUAAUACGGAGGAUCCGAGCGUUAUCCGGAUUUAUUGGGUUUAAAGGGAGCGUAGGUGGAUGGUUAAGUCAGUUGUGAAAGUUUGCGGCUCAACCGUAAAAUUGCAGUUGAAACUGGCAGUCUUGAGUACAGUAGAGGUGGGCGGAAUUCGUGGUGUAGCGGUGAAAUGCUUAGAUAUCACGAAGAACUCCGAUUGCGAAGGCAGUUCACUGGACUGCAACUGACACUGAGGCUCGAAAGUGUGGGUAUCAAACAGGAUUAGAUACCCUUGUAGUC
rnacentral:rRNA from 1 species